AGUGAACGCUGGCGGUAGGCCUAACACAUGCAAGUCGAACGGCAGCACAGUAAGAGCUUGCUCUUACGGGUGGCGAGUGGCGGACGGGUGAGGAAUACAUCGGAAUCUACUUUUUCGUGGGGGAUAACGUAGGGAAACUUACGCUAAUACCGCAUACGACCUACGGGUGAAAGCAGGGGAUCUUCGGACCUUGCGCGAUUGAAUGAGCCGAUGUCGGAUUAGCUAGUUGGCGGGGUAAAGGCCCACCAAGGCGACGAUCCGUAGCUGGUCUGAGAGGAUGAGCAGCCACACUGGAACUGAGACACGGUCCAGACUCCUACGGGAGGCAGCAGUGGGGAAUAUUGGACAAUGGGCGCAAGCCUGAUCCAGCCAUACCGCGUGGGUGAAGAAGGCCUUCGGGUUGUAAAACCCUUUUGUUGGGAAAGAAAAGCAGCAGGUUAAUACCCCGCUGUUCUGACGGUACCCAAAGAAUAAGCACCGGCUAACUUCGUG
rnacentral:rRNA from 1 species